CCAAUAGCGUAUAUUAAAGUUGUUGCAGUUAAAAAGCUCGUAGUUGAAUUUCGGGAUUUAUCCGUUGGUCGGGCUUUUGGGUCUGUACUGGCGUGAUGGAUUUCUACCUUCUGAAUAACCGGCAUGUCAUUAAUUUGGUGCGCCGGGGAAGCAGGACUGUUACCUUGAAAAAAUUAGAGUGCUUAAAGCAGGCUAUUGCCUGAAUACAUUAGCAUGGAAUAAUGAAAUAGGACGGCAUGGUUCUAUUUUGUUGGUUUCUAGGAUCACCGUAAUGAUUAAUAGGGAUAGUUGGGGGCAUUAGUAUUCAAUUGUCAGAGGUGAAAUUCUUGGAUUUAUUGAAGACUAACUUCUGCGAAAGCAUUUGCCAAGGAUGUUUUCAUUAAUCAAGAACGAAAGUUAGGGGAUCGAAGACGAUCAGAUACCGCCGUAGUCUUAACCAUAAACUAUGCCGACUAGGGAUCGGACGAUGUUAAUUUUUUAAUGACUCGUUCGGCGCCUUACG
rnacentral:rRNA from 1 species